rnacentral:rRNA from 1 species
UAGGGAAUCUUCCACAAUGGACGAAAGUCUGAUGGAGCAACGCCGCGUGAGUGAUGAAGGGUUUCGGCUCGUAAAACUCUGUUGUUGGAGAAGAACGGGUGUCAGAGUAACUGUUGACAUCGUGACGGUAUCCAACCAGAAAGCCACGGCUAACUACGUGCCAGCAGCCGCGGUAAUACGUAGGUGGCAAGCGUUGUCCGGAUUUAUUGGGCGUAAAGCGAGCGCAGGCGGUUUUUUAGGUCUGAUGUGAAAGCCUUCGGCUUAACCGGAGAAGUGCAUCGGAAACCGGGAGACUUGAGUGCAGAAGAGGACAGUGGAACUCCAUGUGUAGCGGUGAAAUGCGUAGAUAUAUGGAAGAACACCAGUGGCGAAGGCGGCUGUCUGGUCUGCAACUGACGCUGAGGCUCGAAAGCAUGGGUAGCGAACAGGAUUAGAUACCCUGGUAGUCCAUGCCGUAAACGAUGAGUGCUAAGUGUUGGAGGGUUUCCGCCCUUCAGUGCUGCAGCUAACGC